AGAAUGACACUACCUCCACCAAGCAGCAAGUCAUGCAUGUGCGUGCAGUUCACACGCAAGAAAUUCCAACCAGUGAGUAUGAAGCUUUAGAUUUCAGACACCCAGUUGCUACUACUAUCUAGAGCUUUUGCAUAUGCAUGCAGUUCACAUGCAAGAAAUUCCAACCGGCAGUACCUGGAAGUGUUCUGGCAGCUGUGAAUCGACUGUGAGGUCUUCCUUAGGUACCCCUGCAUUACUACCUUAUCAACUGGUGUUAGGUCAUGUUCAGAAACUCUCUGAGCCACUACAGUUUGGUUAUCCAGGAGAUUCACAGACAUCGACAACAACCAUCUGUAGUUUAGGAUCGACUUCUUCCUCUCCUCCUAGGAAUGGCUCUCUCUGUUUGGUGGAAUAGGAAGGGAGCAAGUAGGAAACUGUGAAAAUAAUUCAGGUCUGAUCCUCCACAUCAAGCACCAGGCAACAAGGUCACGAGGAUCCUACUACAGAACUAUUCAUGUCCCUGAUACGCUAAUGGUAACUAUUAGUUCUCCAUGUAACUGUACCAUCUGCUAGCAUCUCCCUGGACCUUGUGACGAUAGAAAUCUCCACCGUCCCCACCA